GGAACACUGACCAUAAAAGGAAGUUGUUUUCCUGGGGGAAAAGAGCAGUGUCCCACACUGUAAGGGACUAUGGAGUGCGGGGUGGACGGGUUCGCUCUCAUAAAUGCAGCUCAACCGAACGCAAGACCCAGCCUCGUAGCUUGUUCAAUUGCGGACGUUUUAGAAGCAGGACGGCGCUUUACAAUGAAUGAACCAAACUAAAAUGACAACAGUGAGAGUGAUAGUAAUAAUACA